GUAGGGAAUCUUCCACAAUGGACGCAAGUCUGAUGGAGCAACGCCGCGUGAGUGAAGAAGGCUUUCGGGUCGUAAAACUCUGUUAUUGAAGAAGAACGUGUGUGACAGUAACUGGUCAUGCAGUGGCGGUAUUCAAUCAGAAAGUCACGGCUAACUACGUGCCAGCAGCCGCGGUAAUACGUAGGUGGCAAGCGUUGUCCGGAUUUAUUGGGCCGUAAAGCGAGUGCAGGCGGUCU
rnacentral:rRNA from 1 species